rnacentral:rRNA from 1 species
AGUGAACGCUGGCGGUAGGCCUAACACAUGCGAGUCGAACGGCCGCACAGUAAGCGCUUGCUCUUACGGGUGGCGAGUGGCGGACGGGUGAGGCAUACAUCGGAAUCUACUUUUUCGUGGGGGAUAACGUAGGGAAACUUACGCUAAUACCGCAUACGACCUACGGGUUAAAGCAGGGGAUCUUCGGACCUUGCGCGAUUGAAUUAGCCGAUGCCGGAUUAGCUAGUUGGCGAGGUAAAGGCCCACCAAGGCGACGAUACGUAGCUGGUCUGAGAGGAUGAUCGGCCACACUGGAACUGAGACACGGUCCAGACUCCUACGGGAGGCAGCAGUGGGGAAUCUUGCGCAAUGGGCGCAAGCCUGACCCAGCCACGCCGCGUGAGUGAAGAAGGUCUUCGGAUUGUAAAGCUCUGUUGUUAGGGAAGAAAAGCAGCAGGUGAAAACCCGGCCGUCCUGACGGUACCCAAAGAGUAAGCACCGGCUAACUUCGUG